AUAUCUUGCUCAGAUCCGAACUUGUACCAGUAAACUCAUCCUUCUGGAAUAUUCAAACAAGUAAUGAAACAGGGAUUGUCAAAGUCAACAAAGAAUUAGAGAAGUUGUUCUAACCUUCCACGCUAUGCAGAAUCACUGAUAGAGGUUAGAGUGGGCGUUCCUCUCUUCCCCUCCUCCCCUUCAUACUUCGACUCUCUGCGUAUACUGAGAGCCUGGAGUAUAGAAGCAAGCCAGAGAUGUCGACCUGGCAAACCUCCUUGGAAAGGUCGUAAUAAUUUAUCUCUGUCAUUUCAUAUUGAAAUAAAUGAUUUGUACAACUUUA